AGGACGAACGCUGGCGGCGUGCUUAACACAUGCAAGUGGAGCGACGAACCAGGGCUUGCCCUGGGGCAGAGCCGCGAACGGGUGAGUAACACGUGGGUUACCUGCCUUGAUGACCGGGACAACCCGAGGAAACUCGGGCUAAUACCGGAUGUGCCCGCAAGGGGAAAGGAAGCUUCGACCUCCGCAUCAAGAUGGGCCCGCGGCCCAUUAGCUUGUUGGUGAGGUAACGGCUCACCAAGGCUUCGAUGGGUAGCUGGUCUGAGAGGACGAUCAGCCACACUGGGACUGAGACACGGCCCAGACUCCUACGGGAGGCAGCAGUGGGGAAUCUUGCGCAAUGCGUGAAAGCGUGACGCAGCAACGCCGCGUGGGGGAAGAAGGCUUUCGGGUUGUAAACCCCUUUCAGUUGGGACGAAGCUUCGACGGUGAAUAGCCGAACGGAGUGACGGUACCUUCACAAGAAGCACCGGCUAACUACGUGCCAGCAGCCGC
rnacentral:rRNA from 1 species